UACGUAGGGCGCAAGCGUUGUUCGGAAUCACUGGGCGUAAAGGGCGCGUAGGCGGCUUUGUAAGUCGGGGGUGAAAGCCUGUGGCUCAACCACAGAAUUGCCUUCGAUACUGCAUGGCUUGAGACCGGAAGAGGUAAGUGGAACUGCGAGUGUAGAGGUGAAAUUCGUAGAUAUUCGCAAGAACACCAGUGGCGAAGGCGGCUUACUGGUCCGGUUCUGACGCUGAGGCGCGAAAGCGUGGGGAGCAAACAGG
rnacentral:rRNA from 1 species